rnacentral:rRNA from 1 species
UACGUAGGGUGCGAGCGUUAAUCGGAAUUACUGGGCGUAAAGCGUGCGCAGGCGGCGGCUCAAGUCAGGUGUGAAAUCCCCGGGCUUAACCUGGGAAUUGCGCUUGAAACUAGGUCGCUAGAGUGUGGCAGAGGGGGGUGGAAUUCCACGGUGUAGCAGUGAAAUGCGUAGAGAUGUGGAGGAACACCGAUGGCGAAGGCAGCCCCCUGGGUCAAGAUUGACGCUCAUGCACGAAAGCGUGGGGAGCAAACAGG